GACAGAGGGUGCAAACGUUGUUCGGAAUUACUGGGCGUAAAGCGCGUGUAGGCGGCUCGGAAAGUCGGGUGUGAAAGCCCUGGGCUCAACCUAGGAAGUGCACUCGAAACUUCCGAGCUGGAGUUCUGGAGAGGAAGGCGGAAUUCCUGGUGUAGAGGUGAAAUUCGUAGAUAUCAGGAGGAACACCGGUGGCGAAGGCGGCUACCUGGACGGUUACUGACGCUGAGACGCGAAAGCGUGGGGAGCAAACAGG
rnacentral:rRNA from 1 species